rnacentral:rRNA from 1 species
UUAUGGCUCAGGACGAACGCUGGCGGCGUGCCUAAUACAUGCAAGUCGAGCGGAAAUUUAUUGGUGCUUGCACCUUAAAUUUAGCGGCGGACGGGUGAGUAACACGUGGGUAACCUACCUUAUAGAUUGGGAUAACUCCGGGAAACCGGGGCUAAUACCGAAUAAUACUUUUUAACACAUGUUUGAAAGUUGAAAGACGGUUUCGGCUGUCACUAUAAGAUGGACCCGCGGCGCAUUAGCUAGUUGGUGAGGUAACGGCUCACCAAGGCAACGAUGCGUAGCCGACCUGAGAGGGUGAUCGGCCACACUGGGACUGAGACACGGCCCAGACUCCUACGGGAGGCAGCAGUAGGGAAUCUUCCACAAUGGACGAAAGUCUGAUGGAGCAACGCCGCGUUGAGUGAAGAAGGAUUUCGGUUCGUAAAACUCUGUUGCAAGGGAAGAACAAGUAGCGUAGUAACUGGCGCUACCUUGACGGUACCUUGUUAGAAAGCCACGGCUAACUACGUGCCAGCAGCGGC